CUCUCUCGUGCGUUUUCCUUUCUCCAGCCGACAGCCUCUGCAGGAUUAAUUUUCUUUGGCUUUAUUUCAUUGACUUGAGUCAAUGUUUAUCCCCUCAUUCGGCCGACAUCCCCUAGCUGUCUUCCCUUUUCUUCAUUUUCUCUGCUUUUUGCUGGUUCAACGGACGAAGCAGCUUCUUCAUUUCUCUCUUGCGGCCACCUCCACCGAACAGCCCCUGCAACCCUUGGCCACACGUCCGCGGCGCAGCCAUCUUCGGUCAGCUAGUGAAACCGAAGUUGCUUCUUCAGUGAAUAUGUUGACCCAGCCACGAAGCCGCGCGUUCGUUCCUUCAUCAACCCAGCGAAGCCACCGAAACCAGCGGCACCUCUCCGCCAGCGUCACCCCCGUUUCGUUAGAACUGAGCCGCAGCAGCUCCGCUCGCCAAGCCCAUCAGCCACCGUUCCUCGAUCUCUUGGCCGCUCCAUUCAGCUGCUUGAAGGCCCCUCUUCAUCAAAUCAGCAAGAUCAACAGCGCGGGAACAGAAUCUCCAGCCCAGCUGCGAGCUUGCGUGGCCGAUUUUGGGCCGUUCCGGGCCCCGGUUGGUGGACUCACCUUGGAGAGGAUCGAGCUUUGUCGCGUGCUCGUCGAUUUGAUCCAAGCGGAUCUUUAAUCUAGACCCUGAUGAAGAACCUAAGAAGAAAGAACCCGAAGAGGAGUAUCUGGAGGAGAACCCCGAUGAUGAUCUAGAGUAAGAUCUUGAUGAGGAUUGAGACUUCACUCCUAUUUGAUGACCUUUGCUGUAGAAUCUGUUUGAGUAGAAAACAACCUUUUUAGCAUGGCUUGUAUAUGUACAUGAAUGACUGAGUUGUUGUAUAUGUACAUAAGGGUGUUGGUUUU